AGUCGAACGCUGAAGCCCAGCUUGCUGGGGUGGAUGAGUGGCGAACGGGUGAGUAACACGUGAGUAACCUUCCCUUGACUCUGGGAUAAGCCUGGGAAACCGGGUCUAAUACCGGAUGCGACCCUCUACCGCAUGGUGGGGGGUGGAAAGAUUUAUCGGUCUUGGAUGGACUCGCGGCCUAUCAGCUUGUUGGUGGGGUAAUGGCCCACCAAGGCGACGACGGGUAGCCGGCCUGAGAGGGUGACCGGCCACACUGGGACUGAGACACGGCCCAGACUCCUACGGGAGGCAGCAGUGGGGAAUAUUGCACAAUGGGCGCAAGCCUGAUGCAGCGACGCCGCGUGAGGGAUGACGGCCUUCGGGUUGUAAACCUCUUUCAGUAGGGAAGAAGCGAAAGUGACGGUACCUGCAGAAGAAGCGCCGGCUAACUACGUGCCAGCAGCCGCGGUAAUACGUAGGGCGCGAGCGUUAUCCGGAAUUAUUGGGCGUAAAGAGCUCGUAGGCGGUUUGUCGCGUCUGCCGUGAAAGUCCGGGGCUUAACCCCGGAUCUGCGGUGGGUACGGGCAGACUGGAGUGCAGUAGGGGAGACUGGAAUUCCUGGUGUAGCGGUGAAAUGCGCAGAUAUCANGAGGAACACCGAUGGCGAAGGCAGGUCUCUGGGCUGUUACUGACGCUGAGGAGCGAAAGCAUGGGGAGCGAACAGGAUUAGAUACCCUGGUAGUCCAUGCCGU
rnacentral:rRNA from 1 species